rnacentral:rRNA from 1 species
GACGAACCGUGCAAACGUUAUUCGGAAUCACUGGGCAUAAAGGGCGCGUAGGCGGCUCCAAAAGUCAGGGGGUGAAAUCCGGCAGCUUAACUGUCGCAGUGCCUUUGAUACUGUGGAGCUAGAGGGAGGUAGGGGUCUGUGGAACUUCCGGUGGAGCGGUGAAAUGCGUUGAUAUCGGAAGGAACGCCGGUGGCGAAAGCGGGUCUCUGGGAUAUCCUGACGCUGAGGAGCGAAAGUGUGGGGAGCGAACAGG